rnacentral:tRNA from 1 species
UUCUCUGUGGCUCAGACAGUAAAGAAUCUGCCUGCAAUGCAGGAGACCCAGGUUCGAUCCCUGGGUAGGAAAG